GAUGAACGCUGGCGGCGUGCCUAAUACAUGCAAGUCGAGCGAACGGACGAGAAGCUUGCUUCUCUGAUGUUAGCGGCGGACGGGAGAGUAACACGUGGAUAACCUACCUAUCAGACUGGGAUAACUUCGGGAAACCGGAGCUAAUACCGGAUAAUAUCUUGAACCGCGUGGUUGAAAAGUGAGAGACGGUGGUGCUGUCACUACUAGCGGGUUACGCGCUGCAUUAGCUAGUUGUGAAGGUAACGGCUUACGAGGGGGACUAUGCCUAUACGAGGGACGAGGGGGAUAGCCCACACGGGAGCGGAGACGCGGACAAGGCUCCUGCGAGAGGGAGCAGUAGGGAAUCGUACGCAGUGGGCGGGAGCCUGGCGGAGCGACGCGGCGUGAGUGGUGGAGGUCUUCCGAUCGUAAAACUCUGUUAUUAGGGAAAAACAUAUGUGUAAGGAACUGUGGACAUAUUGACGGUACCUGGUCAGGAAGCAACGGCUAACUACGUG
rnacentral:rRNA from 1 species